rnacentral:tRNA from 1 species
UUGUAUAUAAUGAUAUGUGUUAAUAAAUGUAAGUCUUUUACUACGAACUUUAAAACACUUGUAU